UUCCUUAACGAGUUUCAUUCACCUUCCUUUUCAUUUCUUUCUCUUCUUCCUCUCUCUGUCUCCGAGAAGAAAAACCUCAUCAAGCAUUAAGAAAUCAAAUCCAAUCAAACAAUAAGAAAUCAAACCCAAUCAAGAUAUCAACCUUACCUCAAACCCUCUGCCGAUUUCUGAUUUAAACCUCAAUCUCAGUUGUACGUUUUCAAAAAUGGUGAGGACCGAGUUGUCUGCGAAGGCAAAGAAUAAAGUAAGUGCAUGCUUAAUGAAGUAGGAACUGUAAAUAAGCAAGAUGAAAAAUUAGAGUCUCUUCAUUUGCAGAGAGACACUUAAAUGGCGAACAGUGGAAUGAUGGACUAUUAUCUACAGUUAGGAAGCGGGUUCACAUGGAGUUAGAAAGAAAAGCAAUGCAGGGGGAUGCUAGCAUGGCAUUGAAUUCUCACUUCCAUGGGAAAAUUACUUAUAGAGCAGGAAAUAAGUGUUUACGUUGGGAUGAGCUAGAAGGGGAUUAUCACAAAGUCUUGGCGAGGUGAUCCCUUGCACUAUUCUCUGCCAGGAACAGGGCAAAUUAGUUCUCAAUAGGAAUCUGCAACAAAUGUCCAGAAUAUAGUUUUCCAAGGGAGGAACAAUUCCCAAAUCCUUAACAUAACGGAAGGAUUUAAGUAAUAGGAGCAGUGCAUAAGCCGAAAUGACUCAAAUCAGUUGGAAAUUGUCCGUUAAUUUAGUCUCCAUUUAGUGUUGCCUUCAUCAUCCUCAAAGAUAUCAACCUUCACAUCACUCAGCACUGGUGGUGGGAGUGUAAACAAUGGUGGAAGCUUCUUUCCAUUACUUUGGAUGGGUGGUAAUAUCAAUGAACAAAGUACCAUGCUUAGUUCAGCUUGGGAUUAACCCACUGGAUUAGGGUCUUCGCGUGAGGGUUUUGGACUGCAUAUCAAGAAGGCCCUUAGAGGUGUGAAGGUUGAAGUAACUCAUGGAGGAAGUAUGAGCAGACUUAUGGGUUU